rnacentral:rRNA from 1 species
AUGGGGUUCUCUUCUUCCUCUCGGCGCUCACACAUAGCUUCGAUGCUACAACUUUGCGUUUGCAUGCUGUUAUGCAGAGUAGAGGGAGGAUCCUCUGACGAGCAACACUUUGAAGAAGGGAUAAACACCCCCGUGACAUCACCAUCAUGUUCGGCCCGAGAUAGCCUAGACAAGGAUUUUCAUCCAAAUUGCUGGGACCAACCAAUGAAGACCAGCACGGCAAAGAGAGAAUUAUCCUCAUAUGAGCUCUACAUAGUUUACCUGGGCGAAGUGAAGCAUGACCACCCCGACCACGUGGUCGCUUCACACCAUGACAUGCUCACCACUCUUCUUGGAAGCAAGGAAGAAUCUAUAGCCUCGGUGGUAUACAACUACAAGCACGGCUUCUCAGGCUUCGCCGCCAUGCUCACACCAGAGCAAGCAAAACAACUUGCAGAAUCUCCGGAGGUCAUCAACGUCCAAAAGAACAAAAUCCACACGACAACCACCACACGAAGCUGGGACUUUCUUGGCCUCAACUACCAGAUGCCUGGUCCUGGCAGUGGGCUACUCAAGGGAAGCAACUAUGGAGAGGAUGUGAUCAUCGGGGUGGUUGACACCGGGAUAUGGCCGGAGUCGAGGAGCUUCAGUGAUGAAGGGUACGGGCCGAUACCGUCAAGGUGGAAAGGAAAGUGCCAACUCGGGCCAGACUGGGGCAGCAACAACUGCAGCCGCAAGAUCAUCGGCGCUCGGUUCUACACCGCAGGAGUGGACGAGGAGCAUCUUAAGACCGACACACUCUCACCUCGCGAUCACAAUGGCCAUGGCACACACUGUGCGUCCACCGCAGCAGGCUCGGCCGUGGAUGCGGCUAGCUUCUAUGGCCUUGCCAAGGGGGUUGCAAGAGGAGGUGCGCCACGUGCUCGCAUUGCAGUGUACAAGUCAGCCUGGGGCGCUCGCGGAGUUGUUGGUACGGCGGCUUUGCUAGCCGCCAUCGACGAUGCAAUCCAUGACGGAGUGGAUGUGCUGUCGCUGUCCCUCACCAGUGAAGAGAACUCAUUCGGCGCUCUACACGCGGUUCAGAAGGGUAUCACCGUGGUGUAUGCGGGCGGUAAUGAUGGGCCUAGACCACAGACCAUCAGGAACACUUCACCGUUGCGGCGAGCAAGGUUGAUCGAUCGUUCCCCACGGUGA